rnacentral:rRNA from 1 species
GACGGAGGAUGCAAGUGUUAUCCGGAAUCACUGGGCGUAAAGCGUCUGUAGGUGGUUUAAAAAGUCUACUGUUAAAAAUUGAAGCUUAACUUCAAAGAUGCCGUAGAAACUUUUAAACUCGAGGAUGGUAGGGGUAGAGGGAAUUUCCAGUGGAGCGGUGAAAUGCGUAGAUCUUGGAAAGACCACCAAUGGCGAAGGCACUCUACUGGGCCAUUACUGACACUAAGAGACGAAAGCUAGGGGAGCGAAUGGG